rnacentral:rRNA from 1 species
GAUGAACGCUGACAGAAUGCUUAACACAUCAGCAAUUGACUGGUGGCGGACGGGUGAGUAACGCGUAAAGAACUUGCCUCACAGCUAGGGACAACAUUUGGAAACGAAUGCUACUACCUACUACUGUGAGAGUGCUUUGCGUCCCAUUAGCUAGUUGGAGAGGUAACGGCUCACCAAGGCGAUGAUGGGUAGCCGGCCUGAGAGGGUGAUCGGCCACAAGGGGUCUGAGACACGGCCCUUACUCCUACUGGAGGAAGCAGUGGAGAAUAGUUGACAAUGGACCAAAGUCUGAUCCAGCAAUUCUGGGUGCACGAUGAAGUUUUCGGAAUGUAAAGUGCUUUCAGUUGGGAAGCGGUACCAACAGAAGAAGUGACGGCUAAAUACGUGCCAGCAGCCGCGGUAAUUC